GUCGAACGCUUCUUUUCCCACCGGAGCUUGCUCCACCGGGAAAAGAGGAGUGGCGAACGGGUGAGUAACACGUGGGUAACCUGCCCAUCAGAAGGGGAUAACACUUGGAAACAGGUGCUAAUACCGUAUAACAAUCGAAACCGCAUGGUUUCGUUUUGAAAGGCGCUUUACGGUGCCGCUGAUGGAUGGACCCGCGGUGCAUUAGCUAGUUGGUGAGGUAACGGCUCACCAAGGCCACGAUGCAUAGCCGACCUGAGAGGGUGAUCGGCCACAUUGGGACUGAGACACGGCCCAAACUCCUACGGGAGGCAGCAGUAGGGAAUCUUCGGCAAUGGACGAAAGUCUGACCGAGCAACGCCGCGUGAGUGAAGAAGGUUUUCGGAUCGUAAAACUCUGUUGUUAGAGAAGAACAAGGGUGAGAGUAACUGUUCACCCCUUGACGGUAUCUAACCAGAAAGCCACGGCUAACUACGUGCCAGCAGCCGCGGUAAUACGUAGGUGGCAAGCGUUGUCCGGAUUUAUUGGGCGUAAAGCGAGCGCAGGCGGUUUCUUAAGUCUGAUGUGAAAGCCCCCGGCUCAACCGGGGAGGGUCAUUGGAAACUGGGAGACUUGAGUGCAGAAGAGGAGAGUGGAAUUCCAUGUGUAGCGGUGAAAUGCGUAGAUAUAUGGAGGAACACCAGUGGCGAAGGCGGCUCUCUGGUCUGUAACUGACGCUGAGGCUCGAAAGCGUGGGGAGCAAACAGGAUUAGAUACCCUGGUAGUCCACGCCGUAAACGAUGAGUGCUAAGUGUUGGAGGGUUUCCGCCCUUCAGUGCUGCAGCUAACGCAUUAAGCACUCCGCCUGGGGAGUACGACCGCAAGGUUGAAACUCAAAGGAAUUGACGGGGGCCCGCACAAGCGGUGGAGCAUGUGGUUUAAUUCGAAGCAACGCGAAGAACCUUACCAGGUCUUGACAUCCUUUGACCACUCUAGAGAUAGAGCUUCCCCUUCGGGGGCAAAGUGACAGGUGGUGCAUGGUUGUCGUCAGCUCGUGUCGUGAGAUGUUGGGUUAAGUCCCGCAACGAGCGCAACCCUUAUUGUUAGUUGCCAUCAUUUAGUUGGGCACUCUAGCAAGACUGCCGGUGACAAACCGGAGGAAGGUGGGGAUGACGUCAAAUCAUCAUGCCCCUUAUGACCUGGGCUACACACGUGCUACAAUGGGAAGUACAACGAGUCGCGAAGUCGCGAGGCUAAGCUAAUCUCUUAAAGCUUCUCUCAGUUCGGAUUGUAGGCUGCAACUCGCCUACAUGAAGCCGGAAUCGCUAGUAAUCGCGGAUCAGCACGCCGCGGUGAAUACGUUCCCGGGCCUUGUACACACCGCCCGUCACACCACGAGAGUUUGUAACACCCGAAGUCGGUGAGGUAACCUUUUUGGAGCCAGCCGCCUAAGGUGGGAUA
rnacentral:rRNA from 1 species